rnacentral:lncRNA from 1 species
GGGGGGGUUUCCGGGGGUGCGCACCCCCCCUUUAUUUUUGCCGAUCAAUGCAUUUGUAUCGGGACAUAUGUUUUGCACCCCCCCUUUGCCCUGGGUUAGCACCCCCUCUUUCGAAAAUUCCUGCAUCCGCCCCUGAAAGCAGUCCAAAAUAAAUGAGUCUUGAGUUGCUUUUUAAAAACAUCUAAAGAAUUUACACUCCGUAAAGACGAUGGCAAAUUGUUCCAGAGUGUAGGCGCAGCCUUGUCAAAACGCCUCUCACCGUAGCUU